rnacentral:rRNA from 1 species
UACGGAGGAUCCGAGCGUUAUCCGGAUUUAUUGGGUUUAAAGGGUGCGUAGGCGGCCUGUUAAGUCAGGGGUGAAAGACGGUAGCUCAACUAUCGCAGUGCCCUUGAUACUGAUGGGCUUGAAUGUACUAGAGGUAGGCGGAAUGCGACAAGUAGCGGUGAAAUGCAUAGAUAUGUCACAGAACACCAAUUGCGAAGGCAGCUUACUAUGGUAUUAUUGACGCUGAGGCACGAAAGCGUGGGGAUCAAACAGG